rnacentral:rRNA from 14 species
GACGAGCGGCGGACGGGUGAGUAACGCGUAGGAAUCUACCCAGUAGCGGGGGAUAAGCCAGAGAAAUUUGGUCUAAUACCGCAUACGCCCUUCGGGGGAAAGCAGGGGAUCUUCGGACCUUGCGCUAUUGGAUGAGCCUGCGUCGGAUUAGCUAGUUGGUGGGGUAAAGGCCUACCAAGGCGACGAUCUGUAGCGGGUCUGAGAGG